rnacentral:lncRNA from 1 species
GCCCAAUUACAAUAAAUACAACAAGGCCCAAAUAUAAAUAAAUAAUGAAGCCCAAAGAAAAUAAAAUAAAGGCCCAAAUUAAUAAAUAAUCCAGCCCAACUCAAGCCCACUGAAAAUAAAUAACAAAGCCCAAUAAAAUAAUAACUAGGAGGCCCAAAUCUUUCGGCCCAACUCAAUUAAAUGGGAGCCCAUCCACAAACUCAUUCUCGGUUCUCUCUUUUACCCUACAAAUUCACGCACACACACAAAUGAACGCACAUCUCUUUCUCUCCCUUUCAACUCAAUUCUCGUCUCUCACUCUCAAACUCUCAG